CCUCUGAAAGCCGUGAGAACUUUUUGGGUUGUCAUUGACUCCAUUGGCUGUUUGAAAAUGAAUAUUCAUAGGUAGCGAGUAUAUAACACGUACAAGUGUUCCCUCAUUGUAUCAUUGGCACAGGAACUCGAUAUCAAUAGUAUGCUUGAAAUACAGGGACGCUCGUUAAAUACAACUGAAGUGGAUUAAUUAUCAGACUGUGCAUUUUAUUCCGGAGAUCGUGUAGAAUUGAUAAGAGAAAUUCAAGGUGAUAUUUUACGUGACAGUCCAAGACAAUUAAAGCAAGAUGAUUUACUUAACACUACGGUCACUUUUAGCAAUUUCUGUGAUAUUGUUAUCACAUGAUUUAACUAAGAACUCAGUAUCAGCAAUUCCAGCUCUGAUGUUAUGCAAUGGAAAAUGUUUUAAUGGGGGAACAAUUCUAAUGCCUACUUCAAUAUUUGGAUACUGCCAUUGUCUAUGCAGGAAAGGUUUUGCAGGCCCUAGAUGUGAAAUUGCUACAAAGAAAUUUAAAUUGAGAAAACUGAGUAAUUUAAAACUUUUGUUGAAAAGAUUAAGAUCGAGCUGACCACUACAAGAUUAUUAGACUAUUGAAUUGUUCCCGGUAUUUAUUUUUUCCGAUGAUGGUGGAUGAAGACGAACACCUAGAACGCUUUUGACCUACAGGAGUUAGUGUUCUAUCAGUUGACGUUGUGGACUAUUUAUUUAUUGAAUUACGGACUCCUAUUUUUACACCUUUACCAGAACGUGUGGGGAUGUCUUCUAUUCCAACCAGCGCCAAGUCUUUCCAAUCAACACAUUGGAUGGGAGCUGAAAGUGCCAUAGAAGGCAAAAAGCAGGCAGUGAGCUCGUUUCAGCGGGGAUACCCUGCUUCUAUCGAACCAUGAAGUGUGGAUGCGAUUUGCCGAAAGAUGGUUCCAUCUUUUGAAAUUUCGGUAGAAAAUCCAGUGAGAGAUUACACGUAGUCUAGAGGACUUUGGUUUCAGUUUAGCAUUGUUCACAACAAUGCAGUAUUAUCUGGAUUGAUCUCAGUUUAUAACUCAAAUGUCAUUGUCUCAGUUUAACUUCAUACUUAUGAGAUCGUUCCAUUUUUAACUUAUUUAUACGUCCCUGGUCGGUUCGAUACAUACAUGUUCUAUGAACACAAAUCUUAUAUGGAUCCAAAAUAUGACUGUAUUUUCACCUAAUCAGAGAACUACCUUUUACAUUUUAUCAAAGAAAUAUAUUGUAAGAAUUUUUUUUUUAUUUUAACCAUAUUGUUGAUUUCAAUUACUAAAUAUGAUCAAUAUAAUAAUAUUUUGUCCUUUCAAAUUGUUACAUUGAAGGCGCUGUAGCGAAAGUUAUCUAAUAAAUCUUUAUGCAUUAUCAGCAUUAUACAACUGAAAUAUUUUGCACAGAAAUACAAAACAA